rnacentral:rRNA from 1 species
GCCACAGCCAUAUUACCCUGCAGCCCAAGACUGGUUGCCCACUGAAGCUAAGCAGGGUUGAGCUGGUCAGUACCUGGAUGGGAGACCUCCUGGGAAAACUAGGUUGCUGCUGGAA